rnacentral:rRNA from 1 species
AGAGUUUGAUCAUGGCUCAGGAUGAACGCUAGCUACAGGCUUAACACAUGCAAGUCGAGGGGAAACGACAUCGAAAGCUUGCUUUUGAUGGGCGUCGACCGGCGCACGGGUGAGUAACGCGUAUCCAACCUGCCCACCACUUGGGGAUAACCUUGCGAAAGUAAGACUAAUACCCAAUGACGUCUCUAGAGGACAUCUGAAAGAGAUUAAAGAUUUAUCGGUGAUGGAUGGGGAUGCGUCUGAUUAGCUUGUGGCGGGGUAACGCCACAAGGCGACGAUCAGUAGGGGUUCUGAGAGGAAGGUCCCCCANAUUGGAACUGAGACACGGUCCAAACUCCGUACGGGAGCA